CCCUUGCUGGCACUGCCGUGGAGCCUGCCGACCCAGACCCAGGCCUCGCCAGCACAUGACACUGCCCCUGCUCAUGCCUUUGACCUCUCAGCACAGACGGCAAGAUGGAGACUGUUCUCAUCCCCAUCACAGACAGGCCUCCCUCUAGGAAGAAGAGCCGACAUCUAUCUCACAGCUCCCGAGUGGGUCCCGCUCACUGGGUGGAACCCCAGUGGCCCUGUUUGGAUUCUGGUCCCCCCCCGAACCUGGCCUUGCUCUGACCAGGAGGGUGCGGCUGACCGACCCAGCUGAGGACACGGCCUCCAGUGCCACGGGUCCAAGGGCGGCAUCUGCGAUGCAGUGCUCGGCACACGGUGGUGCUGACAUGGAUCAUCCAGAGGCCUGUGGCACUCAAGUGUCCCUGCCCCUGCCCUUCC